UUCGUCCAGGGGGCCGCCUUCGCCACCGGUAUUCCUCCAGAUCUCUACGCAUUUCACCGCUACACCUGGAAUUCUACCCCCCUCUACGAGACUCAAGCUUGCCAGUAUCAGAUGCAGUUCCCAGGUUGAGCCCGGGGAUUUCACAUCUGACUUAACAAACCGCCUGCGUGCGCUUUACGCCCAGUAAUUCCGAUUAACGCUUGCACCCUCCGUAUUACCGCGGCUGCUGGCACGGAGUUAGCCGGUGCUUCUUCUGCGGGUAACGUCAAUGAGCAAAGGUAUUAACUUUACUCCCUUCCUCCCCGCUGAAAGUACUUUACAACCCGAAGGCCUUCUUCAUACACGCGGCAUGGCUGCAUCAGGCUUGCGCCCAUUGUGCAAUAUUCCCCACUGCUGCCUCCCGUAGGAGUCUGGACCGUGUCUCAGUUCCAGUGUGGCUGGUCAUCCUCUCAGACCAGCUAGGGAUCGUCGCCUAGGUGAGCCGUUACCCCACCUACUAGCUAAUCCCAUCUGGGCACAUCCGAUGGCAAGAGGCCCGAAGGUCCCCCUCUUUGGUCUUGCGACGUUAUGCGGUAUUAGCUACCGUUUCCAGUAGUUAUCCCCCUCCAUCAGGCAGUUUCCCAGACAUUACUCACCCGUCCGCCACUCGUCAGCGAAGAAGCAAGCUGCUUCCUGUUACCGUUCGACUUGCAUGUGUUA
rnacentral:rRNA from 1 species